rfam:Anolis carolinensis chromosome 1, whole genome shotgun sequence.
AAGUAUAGCAAGCAUAAAUUCCCUAAGAGGCACCAGAUCCCAGCUGAUAUUUGAAGCUAAGCAAGGUCAGUCCUGGUUAGUACUUGGGUAGGAGACCACAAACAAAUACCAAGUGCUGUAGGUU